ACUAGAAAGAGAAGCUAACAAAGGAAACCCUCUUCAAAAAAUGGGAUUUCCUUGGCCUUAGCAGUUCUGGUGUGUUCCAUUGCCAACACUAGGUAGGAAGAAUUUGAGUCGUGAUGUUUGUGAUUAAAUAUCGGCCUGGCUCAAACUUCCCAAAGAGAGGGAAUUCACCAUGCGUUCCACAGUUUUAUUCUGAGGAAGAAACUAACAGAAACAGAAUUUUAGAGCCUUAGAGCUCUCAUUACAAAAGGCCCCUCACUGUGAGUGGUGCAUCCUGAGCCUAGUUUAGAUGUGUGUACUGAGCCCAGUACAAAUGUAUGUACUGAGCCCAGAGCUAUUCGGCCUGUUGGUGGUGGGGGUGGUUAGGAUUAGAUGAUGACACUCCAAUGAGUUAGUCUAUGAUGCUGUGUCCUAGAUUGUGCUCAGGAUUAAAGACCUGAUUAAAAGACCUUUUUGACUGAAGAAUGUUCUUAAACCUGGGCAUCCAAUCAGCUUUAAACGGGUUGCAAUUAAACAUAAUGCUAUGUGUUCAUUGUUAAUUGCAAACGAAAUGUCCAGUGUUGAUAGAAAUUACCACUAAAGCCUUGAUUCUGGAAGAAGCUAGAGAAAUGGCUCUUGGGUUUCUAAUACUGACAUUUCUUUGGUGACUGGUUCCCAUGAAUGACCUCAACUUCCACUGAAAUCCACAAGAAAACCAAAAAAUGCAAACUGCAAGCCUGAAUAUGUCUGCAAAUUACCUGUGUCUUUAAUGUGUCUUGAACAGUUGGAUACAUGCUUGAUAUUUUGUGGCAAUAUAAUACUAGUGCCAGGACUCCACUUUUGGUAUCACUUUUAGUAUUUAGCUUUGGUUGUUACCAAGUGGGGAUAUAAGGGAUGAGAUGUCUGGAGCUGCUGCAGCCAGUUUGUGACUAUAAAGGAAGCUCCCACAUAGAGGAAGCUUCCACAUGGCAGAGUUGAAA